rnacentral:rRNA from 1 species
CCUACGGGCGGCUGCAGUGGGGAAUAUUGCGCAAUGGGCGAAAGCCUGACGCAGCGACGCCGCGUGAGGGAUGAAGGUCUUCGGAUCGUAAACCUCUGUCAGCAGGGAAGAACGGUCACUGGGCUAAUCAGCAGUGAAUGGACGGUACCGGCAAAGGAAGCACCGGCUAACGCCGUGCCAGCAGCCGCGGUAAUACGGAGGGUGCGCGCGUUAAUCGGAAUUACUGGGCGUAAAGCGCUCGUAGGCGGUAUGUCAAGUCAAGGGUGAAAUCCCCGCGCGCAACGUGGGAACGGCCUUUGAAACUGGCAAACUGGAGUGUGUGAGAGGCUAG